rnacentral:piRNA from 1 species
UCUGGACUGAGGCCACCAGGUGAGCCAUGC